rnacentral:rRNA from 1 species
UACGAAGGGUGCGAGCGUUGUUCGGAAUUAUUGGGCGUAAAGGGUUCGUAGGCGGGAGAAUAAGUUAAGUGUGAAAGACCUGGGCUCAACCUGGGAGUGGCACUUAAAACUGUUUUUCUUGAGUCUCAGAGAGGGUGGUGGAAUUGCUGGUGUAGGAGUGACAUCCGUAGAGAUCAGCAGGAACAUCAGAGGCGAAGGCGACCACCUGGCUGAAGACUGACGCUGAGGAACGAAAGCGUGGGGAGCAAACAGG